AGGACCAGGUCAUGGAACAUUUUGUUUGUGUAAAGUGAAAAGGGAACCCAGCUCUUACCGCAGCUGAAUGCUCCAGCCUAGGAGGGCAAAACGAAGAAAGGAAAUUUCACUUGGCUACCAUUUGUUGUCAUCCUUACGUAUGUGGGAAGGCAUGAAGAGUGUGGAAAGUCAGUACUCAAUAUAGCUGCAAAUUUGGCCAAGAAACCAUUAUUUAUACAGCAGUUAUUUUGGAAAAAAUGCAUUCCCAGAAUUCUGACACAGGAUUACAACACUUUUAUGUGUUAAGGAUAAAAGAUAAUCACCUAACAGAGGAUUUAUCUUUCGAAAUGGACUGAAUUAAAAGACCAAGGAGGACAUCUUUCUACCAGCAAAUCCAGUGCCAAUCCAAAAUAAAUCUCCUGAAUCCACUGGAAUCAUUUGGGAUUUACACCGUGGUGUACAGGGAACGGCGCUUCAUUGAUGGCUGGGCAGAAGCAGCCCUCAUACUGUGCUGCAAGGAGCACAGACAAAAGAGGGGAGCCAGCAGGGUCUGCUCUAUGCCCAUAGUCAGGAUGAGAAAAGGAAGCAGAUCUCCGCACUGUAUAUCCUGCUUAAGGAAAGUACAGCAACAGAAAAAUCCCCUACUAAACUGCAUGAAAAUAAAACUAUGAAUAGACUUGAAAUAUUUGGAUGCAAGUUUGGUUUCAUAUUUUACUUUCUGCAGUCUGGCUGUAAAAUGACAUCAGCAGUCAGCUCACAGCUUUAUAGCUGUGCAUUUGUCACUAUGCCUAGAGGUGUGAGGGGUGGUUGUCUGCCCACCUUCCCAGGGCACCUUCUCAGUGAUUCAGACCAUAAGGUUCAGUUCUUGUGACUGAGGAAAAAUAGGGCAUCACAUCCAAAAAACUUCUGCUCUGAGAAAGAGUCUGGCAGAUCAUAGUAACAGAAAGAAAAAAUUGCAGUGAUCUAAUAUUCCUAUUAUGUUACGAUUAUCUGCAGAGCUCUGGCUCUGCAGUCUUUCUCUCUUUCUCUUGUUCUAAUCCAUGUAGGCAUUUCUAUUAUGCCUGUCACCAUAGCAUCUGAAUGCCUUCCAAGCAAGAGGAAAUACUACCUCCUUUUUUUUUGCCAUCAGCAAAAUACGAACAUUAUCUGAGCUAGAAUGGGGUCUCCUGCAACUGUCAGCAUGCCAAGAAGGAGUACAUGGCAACUUAUUUCAGAUACAGCACCUCAUUCUCCAGUCUUUUUUCUGUUCCAUUUAUGUACUGCAUUGGGUCUUUCUGUGACAAGAACAAGUUGAUGACUGUGGUAUUAAUAGGAUGUUUAUAUAAUGAAUAGUUCUUUAACUAUAGCAACAAGUUUAAGUAUGCAGUAGCAACUCAAGAAGUGCUUGUGAUAAACUGGAUAACUCCUCCCAGAAGAACAACAGUCACCUGCUUUAUUUAUAUUGCAAAGGGUAGUUAAAUGUAAGAUACUGCUUGCAUUACUGUGUCUGUCUUCUAUAUGGUUUUGUCAUACAGUCUCUGUGGAAAGACAGACCUACUCUAAGUCAGAAAAUAAUCACAAGUCACUGUGUGAUAGAUGCUUUAGUCAUGCUUUGUACAAUUUAAAUCUCAUGAAAAGAUGCUCAAAUUGUAAGUUGUUCUGUCUUGACAGGACUUUAAUUAGUUUCAAAUCAGUCAGCUCCUGUUCAGCUAUUGACCAGGGAAGUAGACUUGAGUCCUCUCACCUCCAUUCAAUGUUUCAAAAUGAAUGAACCUUGUGACAAUGCUUUGUUUGCAUUUUCACUGCAUAGAGAGAGAGGCAGGGAGGUAACGUGUAAAGGUCUUUAGAAUUUUAAAAAUAUUUAUUUUAUCUUCAUUCUUCAUAUUAGUAAUUCGAACUGUUGUACAUAUACUUCAAGAAUGAGACAGGAAGAAUAUUGUUCACUUCUUUCUUUCUCUCUCUUUUUUUUAAUUUUCAGAAGAGUCCUCUGAAACCUUAUUUGCAUUGAAAAUACUUAUUGAAAAGCUGAGCCUCAUGUCUGGGUUCCUGUUCUACUCAGAGGAUGUAAUUUUGCUUUGUAAAUUGGUCUCUCAUCUUGAAUGAGCAAAUAAGCAUCCUGGUGGAUGCCAAUUAGAUGAACUUUUGUAUCCCAAGUAGAACUGCUGAGAGCAAUUUUGAUGGACUGAUUUUGCAUUUGAAUAUGCUUUCAACUGGAUCUAAAACACAUUUUAAAAUCAGAUUGACCUCUCUAGAGUUUUUCUGAAGAAAAAAUUCCAGUUGUGUUCAGACAUUUUAUUUGGACAGUUUCAGAGGAAGACAUUUUGAUUUUUGUUUAGUUCCUAAGGCUUUUUUUUGUUCACAGCCCAAACGCCACAACUUAAAAAGUCAGUGUGAAAAUAUUUCAAUUUUGCUAAAAGUAAACAUUGAGAAUGACUGCAUGUAUGUUGUUUGCCUGCUUUUGAGUUUUAUCUUCAAGGAAAAGUCUGGAACACUGAUUCUUAUCAGAAUAAAG
ensembl:lncRNA